rnacentral:lncRNA from 1 species
GCGUGAACGGGGCAUUUUCUGGCCAAAUCGUUGUGUUAUUGCCCACGAUUUCGAUAGUGGCCCGGGGUUAUGGCAUGCUAUAGGCCAAAAAAUGACCAGGGCAUGCCAGGGAGGUUUGGUAUCAUCCCAGUAUGGUCCAUUUAAUUUUUCGUUGCUAUUUGGGUGGACAAACGGACGAAACGGUGCCAAUGCAACAUUUCAAGCCAAAUCGGUGUGCUAUAGCCCAUGGUUUUGAGGAGGGCCCAGGG